GUAUAAGAGACAGCAGUCGCCACGGGAAUACAGAGGGUGCGAGCGUUAAUCGGAUUUACUGGGCGUAAAGCGUGCGUAGGCGGCUUCUUAAGUCGGAUGUGAAAUCCCUGAGCUUAACUUAGGAAUUGCAUUCGAUACUGGGAAGCUAGAGUAUGGGAGAGGAUGGUAGAAUUCCAGGUGUAGCGGUGAAAUGCGUAGAGAUCUGGAGGAAUACCGAUGGCGAAGGCAGCCAUCUGGCCUAAUACUGACGCUGAGGUACGAAAGCAUGGGGAGCAAACAGGAUUAGAUACCCCUGUAGUCCCUGUCUCUUAUAC
rnacentral:rRNA from 1 species